GCUAAACGCGAAGAACCUUACCUACACUUGACAUACCUCUUGGGACUUUCAGAGAUGAUUGUCUUCGGUUCGGCCGGGGAGGAUACAGGUGCUGCAUGGCUGUCGUCAGCUCGUGUCGUGAGAUGUUGGGUUAAGUCCCGCAACGAGCGCAACCCUUAUCGUAUGUUGCCAGCAUUUAGUUGGAUACUCAUGCGAGACUGCCGGUGUUAAGCCGGGGGAAGGUGGGGAGUGACGUCAAGUCAUCAUGGCCCUUACGUGUAGGGCGUACAAACGUACUACAAUGGCGGUGACAGUGGGCAGCUACCUCGCGAGGGGAAGCUAAUCCCAAAAAGACCGUCUCAGUUCAGAUUGUUCUCUGCAACUCGAGAGCAUGAAGUCGGAAUCGCUAGUAAUCGUGGAUCAGCAUGCCACGGUGAAUACGUUCCCGGGUCUUGUACACACCG
rnacentral:rRNA from 1 species